ACCGGUUUACUUAUCUGAACUCUGAAGUGCCGAACCGGCAAAUGCAACAGACAAAAAGCUGCAAAAAGUUAAAAAUGUAUUUUAUAAUUGAUUUAUUCAAGGUUUGUUACUAAAUUAUUAAAACUAAAUUAUGAAAAACAAAAAAAUAAAUCACGUAUUGUCAAGCUAACUCCUAUCAUGUGAGAAUACAAAUGAACAAACCUGUAUGAACGUGUAAAUUCAAUAAGCUCUCAGCUGCCUUUGACAUUUUCAAAAAAAAACAAAAACCUAAAUUUGCUUCGCACACUUCCAAAUUGCAACGGGCAACGGCUGCCGGUUCUUGCUCCUGCGCAUAUAUAAUUUCUACUUUCAAUAUUUUUGAGAAAAAUAAAAACAACCAACACAAAAAUAUCAUCAUACUGUGGCCGUGGGCUGUAGUUGAAAGAUCUUCCUUACCGCAAUUUCAUUACAAUUACAAUAUUUGUGAAAAACAGCUCAACAUUGCUUCUCCGCAAAAAAUGGCAAUAGUUGUUACUUCCAGUUCAUCAAGGAAAUCCCGUCAAGAUACAGGACAUCUUUAUCGUGAGGAUUUUGAUGGCGGUCCUGUUAGCAUGGACGAAAUUGAAAAAGGUCUUUUUUUAGGAAAUCUUACUUCUGCAACAAAUAUGGAAACAUUAAAAUCCCAUAAAAUCACCCACAUUCUUACCCUUGACUCGGUGCCGCUCCCUUCACAUGUACAGCAAGUUUCAUUUCUUACAACGAAAUACGUUCAGAUUUCCGAUAUGCCAAAGGAGGAUAUACUACAUCAUUUGGAUCAGUGCACAGAAUUCAUCAGUUUGGCUUUGGAUAAGGGAGAAAACAUAUUGGUGCAUUGCUAUUUUGGUGUCAGUCGAAGUUCAACGGCUGUUAUCGCUUAUAUGAUGAAAAAACACAAUCUAGAAUACCAACAAGCAUUCGAAAUAGUAAAAUCUAAACGUAAAUUUGUACACCCUAAUUCGGGAUUUGUAAAUCAGUUGAAACUUUAUCGUCGAAUGGGCUGCACAAUUGAUCCUCAAUUUGAUAAAUAUAAGGCUUAUCGUUUAAAAUUGGCUGGUGAACAAGUUCGUAAAGCAAAAAUUCUUCCACAAAAUUUUACAAAUCUAAUUAAACCGGAUCCUGCAAUAACUCAGGAAAAUCCAGAACCAAUUGUAUAUAGAUGUCGCAAAUGUCGACGUGUAGUUGCUUCCAAAUCAAAUGUUCUUCUACAUUCACCAAAAAAUGGACAACCUCCGCAAUCACAGAUCGAUGGGGCUGGAACAACAAAUGCUCCUCCAGCAACAACAACCGCAACACAAGAAACACCAGUCGCUCCAACACGGCUUAUCGAUCAAAUAGCAGAACAAAUACGCAGGGUUUCGGUUUUUGAUAGGACAAAUGAUCCUGAUGCCAAAUGCAAAAGUAUAUUGUUUUUGGAACCCAUUGCUUGGAUGAAAAAUAUUUCAAAUAAUACACAAGGACGAUUAAAUUGUCCCAAAUGUGAGCAGAAAUUGGGAAACUUUAGUUGGAUUAAUGGAUGCCAGUGUCCUUGUGGAGAAGAAGUAUCUCCGGCUUUUUAUUUAAUUGCAUCCAGAGUAGAACUAACAAAAGCAGUACAAAAUGUACAAACAACUGUUUAAAUAAAAAAAAAAAAAUAAUUUCAAAAUAACAUAACAUGGCAAUAUAAGUUUGAUUAAUAAGUCAUAAUCAUAUAAUUAAACGGCGAACACGAAUUUUGUGGUUACAAAAACCAAAGGCGUAUACAUUAUAUACCGAACGAAAGAAAAUGAACCCUAGAAGUGCAGAAUGUAUUCCUUUUUAAGUUUUUUUUUACCGAAAUACUUAAAUUAAAUAAAUUAAAAUUCGAUAUUAAAAAAAAAAUAAUAAUAUCUUAUGUUUGUCUGGAAAGACGAACUGAUACGCAACCUGUUGCCGCUUGUGCUGAUGCUGCUGCUGAUGAGUAACAAAAAUGGGGGUUGAUCGGGGAAUUCUUCUUUUUUCUUGGUUUUUUUUUGUUGUAAUGUCAAACUUGUGCCGGAGAGAUAUUGAAGAAGAAUGACAAAAAAAAAAUGAAUGACAUGAAUGAUUGAAGAAAUAAAAAUAGAAGGAAGGGCAGCCAAUAUCCGGCACAAAAAAAACUUGACGAUAUUUAGUGAUGCCAAGAUUUGGUGAUGCCAAAUAUCGUUUUUAAGGUUUUAAUUUAAGGUUGCGUGAUCAACGUUCCUCACUUCCGUUAUUAAAUCUUAUUUUUCUGUUUUUUUUUUUAUUAGUUUUUUAAAUUUUUCACUUCACUUUUUUUUGUUUGAGGUAUUUACUGUUUUUAUAUUUUAUUUAAAUGAAUUAAAAAAACAUUAGGUAGAUUACCACUUUUUACUUUUUCACUUUUUUUUUUACUUAAAAAUACUAAUAGAUUAUUUGUUUAUAUAAUCUCUUUGUUUUAGAAACUUUUAGAAAUUGCUGAUCUAUCAUAGAAAAUCGCAGUUGCAAAUCAUACUGCGCGAGUUAUAACAGAUAUUUAUAUACAGUUCGUUUCUGCACAGUAAGUUUUACUGAAUUUGCGAUAGAUUCCAGUUGUUUGGUGUCGUCUGUCUCGAAUAACUUUUAUUUCAAUGCGAUAUCUGAAAGCCGCUUCUCUUCGUCUUGAGCGUUUGUCCGAUUUCUAAACUUUUCUUGGUUCCUUUGUAUUAGAUGGCAUUUUUUUUUGUCUCAUUUACUUACACUUAUCACGUAGAUACGGAUUGACUUAAAAAAAGUUGGAAUAACAUAUUGUGAAGGUCUGCUCGUCUGGUCUUCUACGAAAGAAUAAACUACCAAAAAUCUAAGAAUCUUACGUAAUAACCAGAUGAUCAGAGCCUCACUAUUUAUGCAAGAUGGGGCUUUUGUCAUAAAGUUAAGAAUGUCACGUUAUUCCUCGAUACAAAAAUUUAAUUAUUGGACCCGUCUGGAAAUAUUCCGGUCAUGAAUUCCAUAGAAAACCUCUUUUGGAGCUUAUUCCCUUUUGCACGUUAUUUUUUAUCAACAUUUUUGAAUUCUUUAAUUUUUUUUGAGUCAGUCCGUAUCUACAUGAUAAGAGUAAGUAAAUGAGACAACAAAAAAUUCAGGAUAUUUCGACAAAAACUUUAAAAAUCAGCAACAUGAAGCAAAAAAUUGUAUUUUUUUCGCUUGGGCCUAAUAAUAUGGCAAGGUACUGUAAUUAAACGGCGAACACAAAUUUUGUGGUACAAAACCCAAAGGGGUAUAAAUUAUGUACCGAACGAAAGAAAAUGACCUCUAGAAGUGCAGAAUGUAUUUUUUUUUUAGUUUUUUUUUUUUAACCGACAUACUUAAAUUAAAUAAAUUAAAAUUCGAUAUUAAAAAAAAAAAAAAAUAUCUAAUGUUUGUCUGGAAAGACAAACUGAUUCGCAACCUAUUGCCGUUUGUGCUGAUGACUAACAGAAAUGGGGGUUGA